GGAGGCAUAGUCUAGUGGUAGGACGUCAGCUUUACACGCUGAAGGUCUGGGUUCGAUUCCCUGUGCCUCCA
rnacentral:tRNA from 1 species